ensembl:lncRNA
UGAUAGAGUUAUGGAGGAGGGUAUGUGGGAGUUAUGGAGGAGAGUAUGUGGGAGUUAUGGAGGAGAGUAUGUGGGAGUUAUGGAGGAGAGUAUGUGGCUGCUGAGUUCUUGCAUGUGUUUGAAGAUGUUGUCCACAUGUAAUAUACCUUUUCUAACUGUUACUUUGACUAUGGUGAAAUGGAAUGGAUGUUGUUGGGUCUAAUUAUUUUAGUCAUGGUUAAUGGUUAAAGACACAGCCUGCCACCGUGGAUUAAAACCAGGUAGGGACAACAAAAUACAUCCUUUCUAAUCAUUGGCCGGCUGAACUAGGCUUUUCUGGGUCCAUAAUAUGAGGUCUGGGCAAAUGUUCAACACACACACAUUCACCUAACCUGUUGAACAUUGUCCUGAUGCUCAUUAGUCAUGGUUUUAAGCAAUACUAAAGAGAAUAGCAAACAUGCUAUAGUGUUUGACAUGCAAUCCACACAUUAUUCCCUCUUCAUGGAUAAACAAAUGGGAUCAUUACAAACAUAUUUCCUGUGGGAUCAUAGAAAUUAGUCUGUUUGACAAAGACAGGUAGAAAGUUUGUCCAUUUGAUGUUUGUCCCAAAAGCCACAUGUAAAUUAGGUAAUUGUCUGUAUGACUCCACUUGACAGUGUUUAACCAUUAACAUCACGUGUCCAUGUUUAUAUUGUGUCGUUUCAUGUAGUCUAGCUUUACAUAAUGUGUAAUGUUGUCUAGCUUCACAUAAUGUGUAAUGUUAUCUAGCUUUACAUAAUGUGCAAUGUUGUCUAGCUUCACACAAUUUGCAAAGUUUCCAUUUUACAUUGAUGUCUGUUCUGGGUUUUCAUCUCCCCACGCAGCCCAAUCAAAACUGUUCUCCUACAAUGUAGAAAAGGGACUUCUUUAAAGAAAAAAGGUUUUAUUCCAUCGCAAAUACAUUUUGCAGUUGGAGCAUGUUACAUGUUGUCUUGCGAUGUGUGAUGAUGAUGAAGAUGAUGCUGAAUAUUCAUAGAGACCUGAAGAAAGUGUGCUAGAAUGGAUAAUGUAUUUCUCAGACUAUGAGUAUCGCUGGUAAAGGAUCAGUUUACCCAUGUAGAUGAUAAUAAUAAUAAUACAUUAUUUU